UACGAAGGGGGCUAGCGUUGCUCGGAAUCACUGGGCGUAAAGGGCGCGUAGGCGGCCGAUUAAGUCGGGGGUGAAAGCCUGUGGCUCAACCACAGAAUUGCCUUCGAUACUGGUUGGCUUGAGACCGGAAGAGGACAGCGGAACUGCGAGUGUAGAGGUGAAAUUCGUAGAUAUUCGCAAGAACACCAGUGGCGAAGGCGGCUGUCUGGUCCGGUUCUGACGCUGAGGCGCGAGAGCGUGGGGAGCAAACCGG
rnacentral:rRNA from 1 species